GUAAGGUGAGUGCCUUUCCAGGAGGCUUUUGAAGUCUUAGAACUAAGGUUCCACAUUUGAAAUAUACCAAUUUAAUAGGCUGUCCCUGGGUUUCUGCUGUUGAGGUCUUCAGUGGCAGUGGGAACUUUGCAACAGAGUUGUCAUCUGUGCAGAGUUGCCAAACUGGAGCUGGUGAGUUAUUGGAGGAUGCUCCUCUAUCUGGUAUUAUGAUUUGUUGAGUUAUUGUGGAAAUUCCCCUAGACGUGGUAUUAUGAUUUGUUGAGUUAUUCUCAUAAUAUAUCUGAUAUUAUGAUUUGUUGAAUUUGUUUAACAAUUUGCUUGACCUGUUUCUUUCCAGCUGUGUAGUGUCUGCUUUAAAUACUUUUAGCCCACAGUGACAUCUUCUGGCCAUUCAUGUAAUUACAAUUUGGUUUGGAUUUGGCAUUAUUCUGACUGAUCAAAGCCAUUAGCUAUUUUACUAUUAAAUGAGGAUGAAUGAAAAGUCCCAUCCCAAAGAAAAGAGAUAUUUCUCCUUCCAAUAUCCAUUAGGAAAUUUCCAGGUGACUGUAAAUCUUUCAAAAGUGUCAGGACUAAUUGUCCCUAAUGUGUAGCACUCUCCCAGGGACCCCAAUGGAAGAACAUACCCCCUCCCUGGGUUAGAAGGAAUACUCCUGAUCAGCAAAAUAAUGGAUUGAUCUUUCCAGAAUCUGGAACACCCUGACAUACCUGGGGUAUAGAGCAUCUGAGACACAUAAAAGAGUGACCAACCGCCCAGUGGUGACACCAUGGGGAGCGGUUCUCAUAAGCAGUACAUCUCUGCAAGACACACCCAUUCCCAGGUUUUGAUUGACUGAGAGAAACUCUUGUAAAGUACAAAGAAAGAUAAUAUCUUUGCAAUUGCCUGAAUGUGUCACUUCUGAUCUGAGAAUAACUUUUGGUUAUUUUUUUUUUUUUUGGUGGCAAAUUAGAAAACAAGCAAAGAAAGCCAUUAGUUGGGAAGUUAAACUGGUGCUAAACCUAGUCGUAAUCUCCAGACUCUAAAUUUGCUCCUUACAAAAUUCUCCUUCUUAAAUAACUGAGACUUGUAAUAAAUUAAAACAGUGGUGGGAAGGAUGGAAAACUCAAGAGAUUCUGCCAGGUACUCUCCCACCCACCCACCAAACCUAUUUAUCCAACUUUUCUGUCUACGUUGGAGCACCUUCCCUCCCCUUCUCUUCCUUUACCUUCCCAGUCCCCCUGCCAGCCCCUCAGAACCUAUUUUAAUGAAUCUAUUUAAAAUAAAAAUACAAAUAUCAGUGGUAACUUCUUCAGAACCCCUCCCAAUGGGAGAAAAAAAAAACAGCUGCUGGAGCAAUUGGUGAACAUGAAAGAAAAAAUAGCUGUUAGGCCUAAAAAGACUCAGAAGACCAGAAACAUGUGGGUGCUGCUGCUACUUGAGCAUCCACUGUUCUCAAUCAUGAUCCAUCCCAGGGUUAACAGAAAAUAGAUUAUGAACCAGCCCAGGUUGAACAUGGGACUGGUCUCCCCCAACCCAAAAUAAAAAGAAAAAAAUCCACAACUUAUAUUGUCUGGUAGAAAGCAGAAUUAAGGGUUAAGGCCAAAAAAAAAAAUCCCAGAUACUUAUAUGCUCCCUAUAAGACAGAGUAGCAUGAUUUAUAACAGUCGGUGUCUAGUACAGAUGGGAGAGGGACAGCUUUGGAUGCAACUUGCAGACUGGAAAAACCCUGAAGUUUUCCUAGGGACACAAAUAAUGUGGUCCCUUCUUUUGACAAAGCUAAGUACAUUGCCAAACUGCUUUGGAAAUAUUUCUCAAGAUUGUCUCAAACCUGUAGUUUGGUCCAGAAUUUAAGAUUCUCUAAAAAAAAUCUAUUUAUGAUGACUUCAAACAACUCUGUCACUUUUUCCAGAAGACUUCUGGUUUGCCUUAAUAAUUCCAAAACAACUAAAACUGUCUUAAAUUCAGGUUUUUCUUAAUGGACUAAACAAGGAACUAUCUACUGUAUCUAAAAGGGCCAAAAUUGACCGAAAGUAUAUCCCCCUGUCCAACUAGUAGCCCAGGCUGAUUAUUUAACCAAAACUUUUAAUGAAGUCAGAGAGAAGAAGGCUAAUCACAAUUGAAUUUACAGCUGCAGCAAUUAUAGGCAAAAGCCAAUUAUUAAUCUGAAAACAAACCUGAAUAGUCUGUCAUUACUAUAAGAAACCUGGAUAUUGAGAAAUGGACUAAAACUAAAAAUAAUUCAAAAGAGACAUCCUAAACACAUUGGCACCAAAAUCCUCAAAGGUGAAAUCUGACAGGACUCAAGAAACAUAGCAGCUGAAUCCUUUUCUUCCUUUAAAUUCUUUGGGGAAAACGUCUAUUCAGAUGGAACCUGACCUUUAUCCCAUCUUAACAGACAGUGGGGCACCACCCUCUCUACCUUAAGCCCUGGUCAGAUCCAGCAGUCCCUCCUUCCAGAGUACUAAAGAAAUUAAAGUAAAAUGGACUUAGAUUUUCUCUCAUUAUUUCUUUUCAAGCCUGUAAAUUUUUCUUAGAGAUGUUGACCCAUUCAUUGCUUUCUGAUCAAUCCCUCUUCUAUACGUAAAUAUAGGCAGAUAUUUUCUCCAAAAGCAUAAUUCUGUAAUUUUUUAUUUUCCUAAGAAUGAACUAUAACAUUAGAUUAUAUCUCCUCUGGUGUAAACAACAGGGAACAUAAUGAGAAUGGUAACUUUCUCUUUUCUCUCGAAAUUAAUACAAAGUAUCUAGCUGAUAACCAAUCUUUUCCAUAGCUUAGAGACCUUCCUGAAGCUUUAUGGACUUUUUGCAGGAUUAACAUCAGAAGAAUUUACAGUGCCACCCACAUAAAAAUCACCAUUGAUAUAUCUAAACCUUAACCUCAAAUUAAUCAAUAUUCUUUCAGUGAGCAUGCAAUGGAAGGAAUACAACUAAUUGAAGAAUGUAUUAGGAAGAGAUUAAUCAUUCCUUUAUGAAUCCUUAGAGCAUUCUAAUAUUGCCUGUUCAGAAAACCACAUAAUAGUUGGGUGUCAUGGUGCACACCUGUAAUUCCAAGGAGGCUGUGGCAAGAGGGUUACAAAUUCAAAGCCAGCCUUAGCAAUUUAGCAAGGAUCUGUCAAAAAAAUAAAAAGGGUUGGAGAUGUAACUCAAUGGUUAAGUGACCGUGGUUCAGUCCCCAGUACCAAACACACACACAUAAUAGAGUUCUGUUCAAGACUGCAAGCUAUAAAUCAAGUAGCAACCCCAAGGCAUUCAGUCCACAUACUGAAUGUGGAUAUUCAUGCUGGUAUUCCACCAGAAAGUAGAUUCUUUACAGUAACUGAUUGAUGCAGUGCAUUAUUUAAUAUCCCUGUAGAUCUAGAAAGUCAGUUUUUAUUUGCUUUUACUUGAAAUAGUCUUCAAUUCACCUGGACUAUAAUGACUUGGGGAUAUACUGAAAGCUCAACAUAUUCACAGACUUUAAAACGAGAUUUGAGCAAUUUAGCUUUCUCUGAGGAGACAGUUUUAUUACCAUAUGCUGAUGACCUACUACUCUAUGCUCCUUCCUUUUCAGUCCUUCAAGACAGACGGCUAAGAAACUGCUCCAAAUUCUGGACAGCAAAGGAGACAUAAAGGUAUCUAAGGAAAAACUGCAGUUUAAUUUAGCUUUCUCUGAGGAGACAGCUUUAUUACCAUAUGCUGAUGACCUACUACUCUAUGCUCCUUCCUUGUCAGUCCUUCAGGACAGACGGCUAAGAAACUGCUCCAAACUCUGGACAGCAAAGGAGACAUAAAGGUAUCUAAGGAAAAACUGCAGUUUGUUGGUGAGUCUAUUAAAUAUCUAGAACAUAUCAUAUCUUCUGAAGACUCAAAUUGAAUGAUAAUAGUUUGGCACACAUACAAAAAUAUCCUAGACCAACUACUCAAAGAUGAUUGACAGGAUUUGGCAGACUGACAGAAUACUGUCAAAAUCAAACUCCUAAUUUUUCUUUGAUUGCUCAGCCAUUACAUGAAGUGAUACAUGCUUAUAUACCAGAACCUUUACUGUGAUCAAUAGAACAUCUUUGGGUUAAAAGAUUUCUUUGAGCAACCCAUCAGCCUUAGGCCAUCCAAACUAUGAUCUGUCUUUUCAUUUAUUUGGGCACAAAUGGAAAGGCAUUGCUUUCAGAGUGCUUACAUAGAAACGUGGAGAAAUGCAUAUGCUUUGGGAUAUUACAGUCCACUGCUAGGCUGUGUAGUGCAGGGAAUGCCUCUUUGCUUAUGAGCAAUUCCUGCUACUGUUCUUUUAGUAAGUCGCUGAAGACAGAGAUGCAGACACCCCUUUAUUUAUGUUUCCCAUGCAAUAGAAGCCUUGUUUGCUUCAUAUCACAGCCUCUAUCUGCCAGCAAGUUGACUUUGUAUGAGAUAACCCUUCUUUUAGCAGCCUACUUCGUCAUAAUAAGAUGUCAUAUACUCAAUCCAGUAACUUUAUUACCCACAGAACUAGACAAAACCCUCAUGACUGCAUCUUAUUAACUGUGUCACUCUUUCACCUCCUAGGAAAGAUUUAAAGGAAACUAUAAUACCUAAUUCUGAUGGGUUUUGGCACAAUUUAAAUUCAUAUUUUAAAUGUGAAAAUCAGAAAUACACUACUGGUUAUGCAAUAACUAUUCCAUUUGAAAUUCUUGAGGCCACUUAUCACAUUUCACCUCGACCCAACAAUCCAGAGCUUCAUGCCUUAACACAGGACUAUACAUGAGCUAAAGAACUGAUAGCCAAUAUUUAUGCAGAUUCUCAUUAUCCAUUUGACAUGGCCCUUGAUUUUGGAAUGUUAUAGAAACAAAGAGGACUUAUCACUGCUUAAGGAGGUUGAGAACAGUACUUUUGUAUUGGAACUACUGGAUGUUAUUUUGUUUCCCAAUAACUUGACUAUCAUCAAGCUCAAUAGAUAUUCUAAAUUAGAAAUGAAUAUGCUGAAGGAAAUCAAUUAGCUGAUGUUGCCAUGCAAAAGGAAGCUCAAAAUACUGACACUGUUGAGAUUAAAAUCCUUGCCCUUACACUACUCCCCAGGAGCAUUAGAAACCACUGUAUAUAAUGAAGAUUUCCUGGAGUUUAUACCUAGGCUUUAGUUUAGUGCCUCUGAUGAUGAGAGAAUUUUUGGAAAACCUUGGAGGUUUUAUGGACUCCAAAAAACCUUUGGUAUGCACCUUAAAAACUUCCUAUAUUACCUGGUUCCAUGAUGAAAAGAAUAUGCCAAACUAUAUAUGACCCAGCUCUUUGGUCCACAAAGAAGAUGUUCAAAUUUGCCUAACUUUCCAAUAUACAUAUGUGAAUUUACUACAGUAGACCUCACCAUUAUGUAUAUCCACAAACACUAGUUUUAAAAAAUGUAAAUUAAUAGGAAUACCUGUAGAGUAGAGGAAAGGGAACAGCAGAGUAUAGAAAGGGAAGUAAGUAAGCAUUGGGGACUUAAUUGGAGCAGACAAUACUCCAUGUAUUUAUAAUUAUGUCAAAAUAAAUUCUAAUGUCAUGUACAACUAUUGUGGACCAAUAAAUUUUAAAAAAAGAAUUUGCCAAACAAUAUUUGGUGAAGCCAACAACAUUCUGCUAUCUCUGCAUGUCCUAGAUGCCCCACAUUUCCAAAGUACAAUUCAAACCUACCAAAACCCAGCUAAAGAGAUUUAAAUUACCAACAAAUCCUUUUUAAGUAUAGCAAAUAGGUUUCAUACAGCUGUCUCUCUGUAUAGCUGUCGGUAUGGUUUGCAGGUUUUUUCACUGGGUGGAAACUUUCCCUGUCCACCAUGCUACUGCCACCUCUCUGGCUAAAGUACUAAUAGAAAAGACCAUAUCAACCUGGGGAACUCCUUCUGGACCACACACUGACAGGUCUUUGUGAGACAAAUUGUCCAAUAACUGUGUGCUAUGUGGUCAAUAUUACAACAUUUUCAUUCUGCAUACCACCCCCAGUCCUCUGAACUGGUACAAAGGUUAAACAAAAUUAUUAAAACUCAGCUAAAUUUGUGGAAAUCUUUUUUAAAAAGCCUGACCUACAAUUUUUUUGAAUUGAAGAUCUACCCCAUUUGGGAAGCAUAGACUUUGCCUUUGGGGAAUGAUAACAGGAAGGCCUAUACUUCUUUUCUUUGUGCCCCUAGACUCUUUAGCUACUAAAGGGAGAAUUCUUACAUAUUGCCGAGAGCUUAUUAAGGUUGUUAAUGAAAAUUACUCUUUCAUAAAACAAUCUUUUUUUUUACAGCAGCAAGGGGAGUGACUUGCUACCUCAGAAACCAGCCUGCUGAUUUUGUAUACUGGAAAAGACAUCUUUGUCAAAAUUCUUUACCAUCCUGCUGGCAAGGUCCUUUCUAGGCACAUUCUGUGAAUCCCUGUGCAGCCAAACUCAAGGAAAUUAACUCCUAGAUCCACGUUUCCACUUAAGAAGAUCUAAACCCACUUGAAUGGUCUAGCACCCCAUUGCCAACAUCAAGCUUCGUCUGACCAGGAAAAAAUAAUAAUAACUGACAUUUUGAGGUUGACUACUUCUGCCUAAGCAUCUGGAACAGGCCUGUGCAAACCUUAAACUACUAAAAUCUUCCUAUACAUCCUUAUGUUUUUUUAAUAGUUGCUAUAGUAAUUUUGUUCCUGGGAAUACUUUUAAUUUUGAUUGUGUUACACAAAGCUGAACAGAUUCCUUGUGUUUUAAAUUAUCUAUUUCAAGCUUUUAUUCUCACUAUAGUCUCUAAAAAUAAUAAUGAAAACAUUUAUAUAUAUAGUUAUAUUUGUCACCUUUACCCAGGCAUGGAAAGACAAUGCCUUAGUCAGAAUUUCACAGUCUCUAGCAACUUCUGGAAAUUUAACAAAAUGUUGGAUAUGCUACCCCAACCCUCGUACCACUCGUGAACAUAACAGUCUACUCGUACAACCUGUUCUAAACUUUAGCUUAAUUCCUGAGUGCAUUGUCAAUCAAACCCAUCAUAGCUAUGUUGGAUAUAACCCCAUAAUCAGCUAUCCAGUUCGUCUAGCACAUUCCAGUCAACCUUUACCAUGUUUUUAUAUUUACACUCGUAUCCUUCCUCCAAAGUUUACCCAUAAGACUAUAGAAGAGGCUGAAGCUGCAAUAAUAAAACUUUUAGAAAAAUACCAUCAAGGAUCCCUCAAAGGUGAAGGUCCAGAUUUACCUGGGUGUGCUACUACUGACCCAUGGCUUAAUAAUCUACGAGAACAAAUUAGGCAAAACUUUGAGAAGUUUGUAUGUGCACCCCCUGGCUUUAUUUUUGUCUGUGGGGGAGAUCACCACCCAUGGGCCCGUAGAUGCAUUAAAGGGUGGAUUAUGAGGGGGCAAUGCCUCCUAGGAUAUCUAUUUACACCUGUAUCCAUAUUCGAUGCAGAGGAAACCCAACACUGGUCUAGUUCCCUCAAACCUCCCUCUGGAUUCAAACAAGCCACUUUAGAUGGUAGCUCCAUCUACUCCUUUGGAAGAGCAUUUUUGGCACAGUGGGAAGUUACUAAUCGUGAGCAGAUGAUUAGAAACCUUUCUGUUACCUUAGGCAAACUUGCUGAAGAGAAUGCUGCUUCCAUUAUAGCACAGCAAAAAGCUAUUGACUUUUCACCCAAUCUUAAAUUAGACAGCCGAAUUGCUCUAGACUACAUAUUAGCAGAAAAAAGAGGCAUAUGUAUGGCAAUGAAUGCAUCUUGCUGUGUCUAUAUAAAUAUGUCUCAUGAAGUAGAAACCCAUUUAGAAACUAUUAGAAAAGAAGCCACCUGGAUCAAAUAGGUCUCUAACAUGGAACCUGAAUUUAAUCUGUUUAGUGAUCUUUCUGGUUGGUUAUUAGUAGAAAUCAACUGAUUGUUUAGAAAAAUAUUAUAGAUGGUUUGAUACUUCUACUUUUGAUUGUUAUAAUCUCUAAAUGCUAUACUUUUAAUUUUUCCCAACUAUGUAAAUCAAUAGAAUGAAUUUUAGGCUAACAUUAUGCUAGCUCAAAAGAUUGAACUACCUACCUAUAACUUUCCUGAAGAAGCUAUUUCUGAAAACAUGUAAGAAUUCUGUGGGUGAAUGGUUAGAGGCUUGCUCUCUCUUCCUCUCUACCACUCAUAUUUGGACCAAAAAAAAACUCACUGUUUUUAUCUACAAAUUUCCCUCCUCCCUUGGAUAUAAAUUCCUAGGAAUGAACCUUCCUAGACAUGUGAGAUAUGACCUGGAACAUAAAAUGGCUACAUAAGAAGCAAUAAAAUUAAUAUAGCAUCCAUCAGCAAUGCUUACUCUGAAAGACCUCAAUAAAAGGGGGAAUGAUAAGAAUUCUGGGAUGUCUUAAGUUACAGGCCAGAGAAUACAAGGAAGAAAAAGAAGUCCAUUGAACUCAUAGUUUCAACUUCAAGUUCAGUCAACAAAGAAAAAAGAAGAAGAAGGAAACAUUCUAAAUUUCUUGUCUGUAUGCUGAAGACCACAUUGUAUUCUGCUUUUGGAAACAACCAACCAAAAAGUAGCAAAACUUUCUCUUUAUGGACUACCCUGCCAGUACUUUGCCUGCUUUGUGAUGUCCCGCCCCUCUUAUCUGUAGCCAAUGUAAGUUCAGUGCAAAUUAUUUGUGUUUCCUCAUUCCAAAAUUUUAUUAUAAAACACUAUGCCCUAACCUUAGGUCUGGUGGACAUUUUUUCACUGGCUAUCUGGCCAGGCUGCUGGUGGCUUAGGGAACUUGUCCCAGAACCAGUCCUUUACCUUCUGGCUAGCACCUAUAAAACUCAAUAAACCCUUUAUAUCCAGA
rnacentral:lncRNA from 1 species